UUGACUCUAAUGUUUUCUGAUUUUCAACAUUUCAAAAGUCAUCCAUCAUAUUUUUGCAUUUUAAACUCAACAAGAUGCCAGCGAUAGUGUUGGCACCUCCCCUCCGCAGCCCAUUGCUGCACACUCUCCAUUAGCUGCAUGAAAUAAAACUGCUGCAUUUUCCCCUUUCUUACAACUAAGACAAUUUAAGCCAUGUGAAAAUCAAUCAGUGACUCACUCUGAGGUAGAGCUGCGGUCGUUGAGGAGCCAGCUGCAGGAUUUAUAGUCUGACUAGUUACCCAUCUAUUAUCAGUUUAUUGUUCUUAUGGUCAUGAAAGAACCUGUUACCGCCACCCUAGUGUAUUGUAAAAUAUAACUUUAUUUUUAUUAAAAGGCUCAAUAUCGCACCUAGGGGUAAAGAAUGGGAAUGACGGGUGACACCAAAAAGAAUUGCUUUAUGGUUUAGUCGACUAAGUUUAUUGACUUUUGUCACCGUAACUACAAAUGAAGCUAACAUUUGUAGUUAUUUGUCAAAAAUUAUAACUAAAACUAAACAGAACAGUGCUGUCAAAAUUAACACUGUUCUUUACUCAUUCACUGCAGCCAUUUAUUAAUGGUGCAUUAAUAAACCAUCCGAUUUUUCAGCUUCCCUCCAGCCAGUCACCAGUCAGGACUGAUCAAACUAAAAAUCGUCACAGCAGUCAGAAACUUAAUUCUGCUCAAGUGUCUUCAUCACAGGAUCCGUU